rnacentral:rRNA from 1 species
UACGUAGGGGCCGAGCGUUGUCCGGAGUUACUGGGCGUAAAGCGCGCGCAGGCGGCUCGUCAAGCCUGACGUGAAAGCCCCCGGCUCAACCGGGGAGGGUCGUCGGGGACUGGCGAGCUUGAGGUCGGCAGGGGCUGGUGGAAUUCCCGGUGUAGUGGUGAAAUGCGUAGAGAUCGGGAGGAACACCCGUGGCGAAGGCGGCCAGCUGGGCUGUACCUGACGCUGAGGCGCGAAGGCGUGGGGAGCGAACGGG